UACGUAGGGUGCAAGCGUUGUCCGGAAUUAUUGGGCGUAAAGAGCGCGCAGGCGGUCGUGCAAGUCGCGUGUGAAAGCCCCCGGCUCAACUGGGGAGGGUCACGCGAUACUGCUCGACUUGAAGGCAGGAGAGGGAAGUGGAAUUCCCGGUGUAGUGGUGAAAUGCGUAGAUAUCGGGAGGAAUACCGGUGGCGAAGGCGGCAUCCUGGACCGGCAUUGACGCUGAAGCGCGAAAGCUAGGGGAGCAAACGGG
rnacentral:rRNA from 1 species